rnacentral:rRNA from 1 species
AUUGAACGCUGGCGGCAUGCCUUACACAUGCAAGGCGAACGGCAGCGCGGACUUCGGUCUGGCGGCGAGUGUCGAACGGGUGAGUAAUGUAUCGGAACGUACCUUUCAGUGGGGGAUAACGUAGCGAAAGUUACGCUAAUACCGCAUAUUCUGUGAGCAGGAAAGCAGGGGAUCGCAAGACCUUGCGGUGAUUGAGCGGCCGAUAUCAGAUUAGCGAGUUGGUGAGGUAAAGGCUCACCAAGGCGACGAUAUGGAGCGGGUCUGAGAGGAUGAUCCGCCACACGGGAACUGAGACACGGUCCGGACUCCUACGGGAGGCAGCAGUGGGGAAUUUUGGACAAUGGGGGCAACCCUGAUCCAGCCAUGCCGCGUGAGUGAAGAAGGCCUUCGGGUUGUAAAGCUCUUUCGGCCGGGAAGAAAUCGUACGGGUUAAUACCCUGUGCGGAUGACGGUACCGGCAUAAGAAGCACCGGCUAACUACGUGCCAGCCGCCGCCGUAA